UGGAGUAACAACCGAACCUAUAGUGGAGAAUUCGUACGGACUGCUCUCUGGUAUACAUUCCCCUUACUCCCUCUCCUCAAACAUUUUUUUUGAGGGGUUGAGGCCUGUAUGAGGCUUAACUGCCAUUUCUGGAGCAACCACCAGAUGGCAACAGACAAGGACUUAUUGUAGGAGAAAAGGAGUUUUGGGUUUCCCAGCAAGGGUUCCGGCUAUUGGUUCUUUACCAUGGCAGUGCCAGUACACAAUCGUUUCCAGGCUCUAGUUAACCUACAUGAUCAGGCAGGUAUGGUAAGACAGGUGAAUAAAUUGGCGGCCUUUAUUAAACCCUCCUCGCCCAACCAACAGACUCUGGCAAAGGCUAAAUCCAGUUAUGCGGCUGCAGUGACUAGCAAGUCACCGACUGGCAGGGCCUUAAUGGGAGCCAAGGCCCAUAGGGACUCUGGAAUAUGCAGGAAUACUCCAGGGGGAUCGAGUGACAACUCGGACCUGCAAAGAGUGGAGGGGCUAGCUUCAGACUUACCCCAACAAUCAAGAAGAGUAAGGAGAUAUUUAAUCCCCAAACUCAACGACCAAGAGAGAAUCUGGCCCCACCUAAAGUCCCAGCCUUGAUAAUCCCAGGUUCACAACAAGAUAACCAGCAGGGUACGGUAGCAAUGGAAAACGGAAAAGAAACGGAACCUGGGACAGAACUAAUACUGGAACCUGUAAAAAGGGAUACACUUUUU